rnacentral:tRNA from 13 species
UGCCCCGGGUGAGGAUCGAACUCACGACCUUCAGAUUGCUCCUUACAGAGAUUAUGAGACUGACGCGCUGCCUACUGCGCUACCGAGGC